rnacentral:rRNA from 1 species
AGUGAACGCUGGCGGUAGGCCUAACACAUGCAAGUCGAACGGCAGCACAGGAGAGCUUGCUCUCUGGGUGGCGAGUGGCGGACGGGUGAGGAAUACAUCGGAAUCUACUUUUUCGUGGGGGAUAACGUAGGGAAACUUACGCUAAUACCGCAUACGACCUACGGGUGAAAGCAGGGGAUCUUCGGACCUUGCGCGAUUGAAUGAGCCGAUGUCGGAUUAGCUAGUUGGCGGGGUAAAGGCCCACCAAGGCGACGAUCCGUAGCUGGUCUGAGGGGAGCAACAGCCAACCUGGAACUGAGACACGGUCCAGGCUCCUACGGGAGGAAGCAGUGGGGAAUAGUGGACAAUGGGCGCAAGCCUGAUCCAGACAUACCUCGUGGGUGGAGAAGGCCUUCGGGUUGUAAAGCCCUUUUGUUGGGAAAGAAAUCCAGCUGGUUAAUACCCGGUUGGGAUGACGGUACCCAAAGAAUAAGCACCGGCUAACUUCGUGCCAGCCGCCGCCGUAA